GUGCUGCUGCGGCGGCGGACCGAACGUCAUUUCGGGCGCGGACUGACACUUAAAAUAAGCAUACACUGUACGCCGCCGCCGCCGCCGCUUUUGAAACGCGCCAAAGAAGCUCGUUGCCGCCGCUAGUGAUCGCCAGUGCGCUUUCGGUGUGCGGUUGUCGCGGACGUCUGCUGCAGCGGCUGCGCAUCUCUCUCCCCAUCGGCUCCGUCUCAAUUUUUACUUUCGCGCGCGCACACACACACACACACACACGCGCGCACGCAAGAACACGCGCACACGCACACUUACACACGCGCGCGCGUGCGCGUACGCACUCUCUCGUCGAGGAGUUUGGGUUGUCGAAUUUUCCGCACACCACCCCCCGCCGCUCGCCCCCUCGUCGCACCACCGGUUUCUUUUUCAUCGCGUCUCAUAGAUACAUAUUGUUAUUAUUAUUAUUAUUAUUAUUUUAAUUAUUAUUAUUACUACGAUCGUCUAAAGCCCGCGUCGAAUAUACCUAUAAUAUUAUCAUCAUUAUGUAAUAAUUUUUUUUCGUCUUCUCGAAACCGGCGAGACAUCGUCACCGUCACACCGAUAACGCGUCAGGAGGUCGACGAAAAAAAUCAAAAAAAAACAAAAAAAAAACAAAAAAAAAAAAAACAAUUAAGUAACACCACCAUAACUGUGUAUAAUAAUAAUAGUAUACUGUUGUACACCCGGUGACGGAAGCGAUGAACCGUGUUUGGCUGGACACGACCCCUGCUGCUGACUGCUGCUUUGGCCGUUUCGAGUCGACACUACUGUGAUUCCUGCAACUUCGAUCCUGGAAAUCUCUGCUGCAACACACGUGGUGUCUGAUACUACCGAUAUAUUAUUAUCCGACUAUCUAUCUAUUUUGCAAAGUGUUUCCAUUGUAUUCAGUAUGAACCAUAAAGCAUCGCCAUGUUUUAAUAAUAAAAGAAAUACGCCCCAACCUAAAUUGGUUUCACCAAUUCACUACGUCGAAAAAAUGUUGCUAUUAUACCCAAGCUCACCUAAAACCUAAUCGAUUCACUGCAGGACAAUAUUUAAAAGUAUGUUAAAUAUUGAUACAACAUGGUUCAAUAUUACAAAAUUGACGAUCAACGAGCUACACUCGAAACCUCAGUGUACUACUUGCAUAAUACGUUUAUACAAAAUCUACAUCGGUGACUUCUAAAGGAUUUUAGUUCUUUGUAUAUUGUUUGUAUUUUAACUUUAUAAUUUGCAAAUAAAUAAUUAUUAUAAUAUGAAAAAAAUGAAAUAAUAAUUUUAAAAUAGGAAAUAAAAUUAUACGUAUUAAAGUAUAAAAUAAGUACAUAUUUAUUUAAGCACAUUAUAGAAUGACCACUUUUAGAUUCUGAACGGAGUGAUGAAUGUAUUGAUUUUACAAUGAUGAGUGUUUUUAUUAUUUUUUUUUUGUGUUAGUCAUCACGUUUUGGAGCAGUAAAAGUGCUUCGAUUUUUAAACUCAGCCCCAUUUCUGAUAGGAAAGUGAAUCUAGUUGGUUUUUUGGGGGGUCAAAAGUAAAAAAUUACAAUAGUUUUCAAAAGUAACACAAAUAGUAAUUAUAACUUUAAAUACUUGGAAUUGUCACCAAAUGUUUAUGUUAGUGUUAUCUACAUACAGUUGAACUUUCAGAAAAUCUUGAUUUUUUUUGAGUUAUUUAUAGACUACUGAAAUUUUCGAUUUUUUUGAGAAUUUUAUUUUUAUUUGAAGUUCAAAUGUUGAUUAGAAUUCGUCAAAAUCAUAAAUAUUUGCAAAUUAUUUUGUACCUAGAUAUAAUUCAUAAAAAAAUUGCAUAUGUAGCUAAGAGUUGAAAAUGUAAUACAAGAUUUUUCAUAAGUUUAACUUACAAUAAUCAUAAAAUAACUUAAAUUUUGGAGUAUUCAGGCCAUUAAAACAUAAACCACCUUUUUCACUAACCACUGGAAAUUAUAUCUUAGACUGACAAAUCAUCUUCGUUCAGAAUUGUUUUUCGUAUACAGUUAUGAUACCUAUCAUUGGAUUCAAAUUUAACAUUCCUAUAAUAUAUUACAAUAGGGUUCCACACGGCACCUAAUUGCAGAGCGGUACCCACUUACCUGCUUUUUUUUUUUUUUUUUUUGAUUGAAAUUUAAGUUUUACUCAUAUAAUUUAUUACUGCACAAAACCACAAAACACUUCUUCAUUAAAAUUAUUUACUUACAAAACUAAAUACAAUACUAAAAAAACAAUGACAGAUUACAAAUAGUUUUUUUCUUACUUUAAUUUAAGUUAUUUAAAACUAUAUUGAUGUUUACCUAAAUAUUCACGUGUGUUUAUUUUUUUUAAUAAAAUCGUUUCCGUUCAUUAAAAAAUAAAUAUAUGCAUAUAUUUAUUUGAAUAAUCAAUAAUAGAUAUAAAUAAAUAAUGAGAAGCCCCAUUAACUAUCGCCCAAACAAUAAUAUCCAUAAAUAGUUAUUGCUUUUAUUACUGAGUUAGACUUUAUCAAUGCAAUAUAAAAUUUCUGUUUUAUUUCUUAUUUAGUCAAUAAACAAUAAUACUUAAUAAUACCUUCCUAUAAUCCUAAACUUUCGUAGUAUGAUGACGAUACAAAAAUAUAUUGAAUCUUUUUUCAUUAUAACUAAUACAUAGUCAUAAUAAAUAGAUAAGUAAAUAUUCAUAAAUCAAAAAGUGAACAAUCAUAUUUAAUAAUGAUUAUUCUGAUAAUUCCUUGUUCUAUACAAAAAUAUUUGUUUUAAUAUUUAUUUGUUAAAUACUUUAGCCGUAUAAUCCACUGAAAAAAACUUAUAAGUACACGGUCAUUAAAUCCACACUUAAAUAGCGUUUCAUAAUCAUUUUGCUAUUAUAUAUUUUUAAUAGAUAGUUGGAUUAAAGAAUAUCUUGGUAAAUUACAUAUAAAUCAACUUGAAGGAUUAUCUAGAAAAGUCAAGGAUGACAGUUAAGAGAUUAUAGGAUUUUUGUGUUAUUAUUACAAAAUCGUUAGGUUAGAUUAAAUAAUUAUUUAUAACUAAGCUUAUCGAUUGUUGUCAUUAAAUUGUUAUAAUAUGUAGACUCUAAGUAAUUUAGUAUUUUGAAGUAUGUUAAUUUACUUACUACAAAAGUACACAAUCAUAGGCUUUAAUAGUUAUAUAUAUAUUUAUAUUUAUUAUUAGUAUAUAAUAAUUAUAUAUUAUUCAUCAUAAUAUACGUAUUUUUUAAGUUAGAUAUUGUUGGCGCAAAUUGGUUUUAAUUUUUUAGUAGAGUUUGGAGAAAGAGUAUUAAGUUAUUUUGUUGAAAUCUGAAAUAUCUGUACUAUGAUAUAUAAUUGUCCACGAAUAAAGAAUUUAUCUAAUAAAAAUAUUUUUUUUUU